GUGGCAACCACCUCAAGUGGAGUAAACAUAUGUUUCUUCUUUUAGGCACCAGUCAUUUCUUUAUCUGGCCAUACCCCAUGACCUGAUUCUCUCUUAUUUUAAUCUGGGUGAAGGGAGACUAAUUCGAAAAAUUGAAACCCAAGUAUCAAGCAGCUGCAAAGGCUUCUUGGCUCCAACAACAGCGUAGAUAUCAGUCCAGAGAAAACCUGUUAUCACCACUGUCUAAGAUCAACUGAAUUAUAUGCUAUAUGGUUGGUGCUGCAAAGAUGGGUAUCUCAUCAAGACAUGUUGUCGAUUAGGAUCCACAAAAGCAGAUACUCGAUCUAUUCCGGUAUAAUCAAUUUUAGUCGGUAAUUUUGAGUAAUUGUCCAUAAAUUUUGGAAGACAAUCUUGCUUAUGCAGUAUCGAGUAGUAUAAUCCUCUAUUUCAAUCACUUUAGCUCUGUUUCUUCGUGUUUAUUGUUUGGCAUCAGUUUUGACUUUUGAUGCGGUUUGAUACUUAAAUUUCUUGGCAAUACAAUACCAAGUUUGACGCUAUUGAUCUUAUUGUUGCAAUAUUAGAUUAGUAAUGUAUAUGAGUACAAUUAUUUGUUACUAUGAAAUUGGUUCAAGGGAAUAUUCAUUUCUAGAAGCAUAUCCAACAUUAUGCAGUUUCGGUUGCACAGAGCAUUGGUGUAACUCAUCUCCAGCGCAAAAAGGUAUGUCUUGUCUCGAGUACAGCAACAGGUGAAUCGUUGUUGCUAACUCUCAAGAAUGCAAAAACUCAUAGUCGUAUUGAUUUCCCGAAUAGGUAAAAGAAUCUUCUUAAUAUCUUGCUGUGGCAGGCGAUGAUCUGCGUGAGAGAUGGGCAUACCUUGAAAACAUAGGGAAGAUGGUUAGGUUGCUGCUACCACAAAAUUUUGUAGCAGAUUGGUAGUGAUUAUGGAUGUUUUUGAAAGACUUGGAAGAUGGAGAUAACAUGGCAUGAUGGGUACAAAGUGGUUUACAGAAAUGGCUCGAUGGUUUGCUGAUUUGAAUCAAGUCUGGGUAGUGAAUGGAAGUAAAAGAGGUGUAAUGCUAACAGUUUCAUGUGAUCGUUAUCGACACAAUUGUCGUUUGUUUAGGUGAUGAGAUAAGGAAAGGGUUUUGCUAACCGUUACUUCUUCAUCACGGGUGAUAAUCAGUCGUAUCCAGAUACAGGGAAUCUGUAGGGCUGCUGGGAUUGGUUAUAGGAGACAACGAAACCACAGCAAAGCCAAUUGCAAGGGAAUGUAGGGUAAAAGAAAGACUUGGGUAAACAUAUGUUUACCGGUUAUAGUCCUCUUAUCAGUUAUUCACCUUUGAAGCAUAGUUUGUGGCAACCACCUCAAGUGGAGUAAACAUAUGUUUCUUCUUUUAGGCACCGGUCAUUUCUUUAUCUGGCCAUACCCCAUGACCUGAUUCUCUCUUAUUUUAAUCUGGGUGAAGGGAGACUAAUUCGAAAAAUUGAAACCCAAGUAUCAAGCAGCUGCAAAGGCUUCUUGGCUCCAACAACAGCGUAGAUAUCAGUCCAGAGAAAACCUAUUAUCACCACUGUCUAAGAUCAACUGAAUUAUAUGCUAUGGUUGGUGCUGCAAAGAUGGGUAUCUCAGCAAGACAUGUUGUCGAAUAGGAUCUACAAAAGCAGAUACUCGAUCUAUUCCGGUAUAAUCAAUUUUAGUCGGUAAUUUUGAGUAACUGCCGAUAAAUUUUGGAAGACAAUCUUGCUUAUGCAGUAUCGAGUAGUAUAAUCCUCUAUUUCAAUCACUUUAGCUCUGUUUCUUCGUGUUUAUUGUUUGGCAUCAUUUUUGACUUUUGAUGCGGUUUGAUACUUAAAUUUCUUGGCAAUGCAAUACCAAGUAUGACGCCAUUGAUCUUAUUGUUGCAAUAUUAGAUUAGUAAUGCAUAUGAGUACAAUUGUUUGUUACUAUGAAAUUGGUUCAAGGGAAUAUUCAUUUCUAGAAGCAUAUCCAACAUUAUGCAGUUUCGGUUGCACAGAGCAUUGGUGUAACUCGUCUCCAGCGCAAAAAGGUAAAAGAAGCUUCUUAAUAUCUUGCUGUGGCAGGCGAUGAUCUGCGUGAGAGAUGGGCAUACCUUGAAAACAUAGGUAGUGUGGCAUGAAUGCAUGGUGUGAAUUGUAUAAAUUAUGACAGCGGAAAGUAUGUUUUCUUAAGAGUCCAACUUUAGAAAAGUGCAGCUAGCUCUUUCUCAAGGUUUUGGUGACUCAACAUGGCCAAUACAGAGUGGAAGGCUAGGGAAGACACAAGGGAGUAAAACCCGUGAGACAGACCGUUAUAGAAGUGAUUACAUCUGGUAAUGUGGGAUUACAGCUCACCGAUGAUGCUCUUCAGGUCUUCCUUGCAGAGAUUUUGAAGCUUGAUGCGGUGGCCUUGGGUUAUGAUCUUGAAUCCAUAAUAUAAUCACAUUUGUGGCAGCCCUAUGUUUUUCCACUGUGAUGACUCAACUUUGGAACGCAAUAUAGAUUAAGCUCGGAAAUGCCAGAGCUAAUUCCCUGAACAAGGUUAACAAAUCAUAACAAUGAAAUAGGCACAUCAAGUUUGGAAGCCCCAAACAAAUUUGUACGGAGCUAGGAUUUCAACAUACACAUUUAUAUGGAACUCGAAAAUUUGGCCUUUCACCGGUGGAACUGCAAAGCCGUUAGGUCCAAAUGAACCAAAGAUCUGAAAAGUCAUAACCAUCCUAAAUUUAUAUGGAAUGUCAGACAUCGGUCACAGCCAACCAAGAUCCAUGUGGAACGCAAAGUGGUACGGUAAAGCUUAGAAUGAAAGAUUUCUCAAGUGGGCAAAAAAAUACCAUGAAUCGAUAAACAUAACAAGAAAGAAGUUAUUCUGACUAAUUAUAAAGAAUUUAAAAUUAAUCCGAGGCAUAUAUAAGGGAUGUAAAUUCACACUCGAACUUUAGCAUUCACGGUAAGUAAUGCAAAGUGUUGUAUAUGGCUCGAGAAAUUGAAAAGGUCGAACCACGAUAAUAGGCAUGA